GACGAACGCUGGCGGCGUGCUUUGCACAUGCAAGUCGAACGGUGAAGGUGGAGCUUGCUCCGCCGGAUCAGUGGCGAACGGGUGAGUAACACGUGGGCAACCUGCCCCUAACUUUGGGAUAACUACUCGAAAGAGUAGCUAAUACCGGAUAUGAAGUCUGUAGGCAUCUAUGGAUUUGGAAAGUUUUUCGGUUAGGGAUGGGCCCGCGGCCUAUCAGCUUGUUGGUGAGGUAGUGGCUCACCAAGGCGACGACGGGUAGCCGGCCUGAGAGGGCGACCGGCCACACUGGGACGGAGACACGGCCCAGACUCCUACGGGAGGCAGCAGUGGGGAAUAUUGCGCAAUGGGCGAAAGCCUGACGCAGCAACGCCGCGUGCGGGAUGAAGGCCUUCGGGUUGUAAACCGCUUUCAGCAGGGAAGAAGCGAAAGUGACGGUACCUGCAGAAGAAGCACCGGCUAACUACGUGCCAGCAGCCGCCGUAA
rnacentral:rRNA from 1 species